CUAUCUUUUCUCUUCUCAUCGCCUCCCUUGAAGAGAUGGGUUUCACCAGUUUCGAUCUGUUAAUUCAGUCAUCUGAUAAAUCGAUCAAAGAGAUUAGAUAUUAGAGUCUUGCAACAGUUUUGAUAUGUUAUUUCAAUCUUUAAAGUUUUAUCUGUUGAAGAACUUUGAAGAACUUCUAAGGGUUUAAAAGAUUGAAGAACUUUGAAGAACUAAAGUUGAGAUAAGAAGAAAUCAAAGACUGGGUUUGGUGGUUUGAGAAGUGAAUCGAUGUUUUGAACUUUGAUUAGAGAGAAGAAAGAAUUGGGAAUUAUUUUCGGGUUCUGAGUAUAGAUGAUGGUGAUUGAAGAUGAAUUUGAUGGUUAGGGGUUGAAGUGAUGAUUUAAAAGUUCAAUUGAGGCAUAACAAGGAAUCAAGAUCAACUACUUCAAUCUAGGAAUUUGAUUUAAGGAGUUUCAAGGCGUUGUUGGAUUGGACGACAAUGAGGAUCUAGUGUCAGAUAUGAUUGAAGUUCCUCUUCGCACAGUGGAGAUUCUUGUUGCUUGUCAUGUGUUGGUCUUUGUGGACAGCAAGAUGUUGCAGGUUGGUGACCCUGUUGAAAAGGCAGCGCUUAAAGGAAUAGACUGGACUUGCACAUCAGAUGAAUAGGCUAUGUCCAAAAAGGUAUGUGGUAACCGUUCGGUGCAGAUUGUUCAGAGACACCACUUUGCGUCUCACUCGAAACAUAUGGCAGUUGUGACUCGUAUUCAAGAUGAUUUUUUUUGGCUUUUGUGAAGGUUGAUAGUUCUUGAAGGACGGAUGUCUAUGUAUUCAGCUUAUUAAGGACAAAGGAUGUGGGUGACGCAGAGACAUUGGAAAUCAUGUGAUGUAGAAGAGAGCGUAGUCUAUGAAAGAUGGAAGUAGUUAAAGAGAGCCCUUGGACAAAAUCGGAUUUGACGGUUUGAUAAGAGCAAGCUAACAACACCCUUAGCCUUUUUGACAGUGGCAUUGGUAUGACCAAGUCAGAUGUGGUGAACAACCCUGGUACCGUUGCAAGGUAUGAAACCAAAGAAUGCAUGGAAGCUUUGGUUGCUGGUGCUGAUGUUAGUUUUUGAUUAGACGGUUUGGUGUUCGUUUCUACUCUGCAUACCUUGUAGCUGAUUUGCUCCAAUACCCACUCAACCAGUACGCAAGAGAAAGCAAAGACUGUUAUUUGAGUUCUGCGUCUAUUAAUUUUGUCUUGUAUGUUCUCAAGUUCUAAACAGAUUUUGUAUGAGCUUGAAGACGUAGACGACAAUAAUGACUUGUUUUAUUCUUUCAACAACGACAACUUAACAUAAUUCUAACCAUUAUGUUAAGAAUAAAACAAGUCAUUAUUGUUGAAUGUGUGAUAGAGUUUUGUUGGAUUGAGUGAAUGAUUUAUGCAGGUAAUUUAUUUU